UACGGGGGGAGCAAGCGUUGUUCGGAUUCAUUGGGCGUAAAGGGUGCGUAGGUGGCGAGGUUAGUCAGGUGUGAAAUCUCGGGGCUCAACCCCGAAACUGCACUUGAUACUGCCUUGCUAGAGUACUGGAGAGGAGAUUGGAAUUUACGGUGUAGCAGUGAAAUGCGUAGAUAUCGUAAGGAAGACCAGUGGCGAAGGCGAAUCUCUGGACAGUUACUGACACUGAGGCACGAAGGCCAGGGGAGCAAACGGG
rnacentral:rRNA from 1 species